rnacentral:ribozyme from 1 species
GGAAGAAGGAGAAAGAAAGGGAGAGAGAAAGGGAGAAAGAAAGGGAGAGAGAAAAAUGUAUUUCAUUUCUUUCUUACUUUCCUUUUUCCCUCUUGCUCCAUCU